AUUGAACGCUGGCGGCAUGCCUUACACAUGCAAGUCGAACGGCAGCACGGGAGCAAUCCUGGUGGCGAGUGGCGAACGGGUGAGUAAUGUAUCGGAACGUACCUUUCAGUGGGGGAUAACGUAGCGAAAGUUACGCUAAUACCGCAUAUUCUGUGAGCAGGAAAGCAGGGGAUCGCAAGACCUUGCGCUGAUUGAGCGGCCGAUAUCAGAUUAGCUAGUUGGUGAGGUAAAGGCUCACCAAGGCGACGAUCUGUAGCGGGUCUGAGAGGAUGAUCCGCCACACUGGAACUGAGACACGGUCCAGACUCCUACGGGAGGCAGCAGUGGGGAAUUUUGGACAAUGGGCGCAAGCCUGAUCCAGCCAUGCCGCGCGAGUGAAGAAGGCCUCGG
rnacentral:rRNA from 1 species